rnacentral:rRNA from 1 species
UGGGGAAUUUUGGACAAUGGGGGAAACCCUGAUCCAGCCAUCCCGCGUGUGCGAUGAAGGCCUUCGGGUUGUAAAGCACUUUUGGCAGGAAAGAAACGUCGCGGGUUAAUACCCCGCGGAACUGACGGUACCUGCAGAAUAAGCACCGGCUAACUACGUGCCAGCAGCCGCGGUAAUACGUAGGGUGCAAGCGUUAAUCGGAAUUACUGGGCGUAAAGCGUGCGCAGGCGGUUCGGAAAGAAAGAUGUGAAAUCCCAGAGCUUAACUUUGGAACUGCAUUUUUAACUACCGGGCUAGAGUGUGUCAGAGGGAGGUGGAAUUCCGCGUGUAGCAGUGAAAUGCGUAGAUAUGCGGAGGAACACCGAUGGCGAAGGCAGCCUCCUGGGAUAACACUGACGCUCAUGCGCGAAAGCGUGGGGAGCAAACAGGAUUAGAUACCCGUGGUAGUCCACGCCCUAAACGAUGUCAACUAGCUGUUGGGGUCUUCGGACCUUGGUAGCGCAGCUAACGCGUGAAGUUGACCGCCUGGGGAGUACGGUCGCAAGAUUAAAACUCAAAU